rnacentral:tRNA from 2 species
GUCACCAUAGUUCAACGGAUAGAAUAGGGUCCUCCUAAGACCUAGAUACAGGUUCGAUUCCUGUUGGUGACACCA